CUAGUCUCUUCCUAAAUAUUUAAAAAUUAACUUCUAGGUGAAGAGGGGUAAAUAAAACUAAGGGACGAGAAGACCCUAUUGAGCUUUAGUGAAGCAAUAAGUUUUGAGUGUAAUUAAAUUUACCGAAUGGGCAAUAUAUUUAUAGACUUCUAUUGUGUGGUGAAUCUUGAGUCGGGGCGACUGACGAACAAAAAAAGCUUCCUUUGUAUGAUAACAUUCUGAUUUAUCUGAUACGAUGUUAGCUAGCUAUUUGAUCCACUAUUUUUUGAUUAAGGUGUCCUGAGGGGGUUGCACAAAUUGACAAGAAGGGGUUUGCGACCUCGAUGUCGACUUAGG
rnacentral:rRNA from 1 species